CAAUAGCGUAUAUUAAAGUUGUUGCGGUUAAAAAGCUCGUAGUUGGAUUUCUGCUGAGAACGACCGGUCCGCCCUUUGGGUGUGUAUCUGGCUCUUUCUUGGCAUCUUCUUGGUGAACGUUGCUGCACUUGACUGUGUGGAGCGCUACCCAGGACUUUUACUUUGAGGAAAUUAGAGUGUUUCAAGCAGGCAUACGCCUUGAAUACAUUAGCAUGGAAUAAUAAGAUAGGACCUCGGUUCUAUUUUGUUGGUUUCUAGAGCUGAGGUAAUGAUUAAUAGGGAUAGUUGGGGGCAUUCGUAUUUAACUGUCAGAGGUGAAAUUCUUGGAUUUGUUAAAGACGGACUACUGCUAAAGCAUUUGCCAAGGAUGUUUUCAUUGA
rnacentral:rRNA from 1 species